ACUUAUUUAAGCUCUGAAAACUGGUUGAAAUAUUGCACUGACUUAGAGAUGACAGGAGUAGCUCCUCCCAAUCAACUGUAGCACAGUCAGACUGCAAUCUCUGGCUCAUGUGUAAAUAGUCACCAUUUUGGUAGGUGGUCUAUUUCUAGUGCUCUUACUAUUUUAUUUCAAAACAUGGAAACAGUAAAGCUAACUGAUUCUUUCUACCACCUCUUUCUGUGUGUCAGGUUACAUUACCCUUUUCAAGUGUCAAUGUUUCUUCUUUUCUCUCUCACAGAAAAUGUAUUAAUAGACCUCUGGGCUGAUGAUUGCUUUUGGUACUGGAAAAUGCUGUAUGAGGCUUCUCAGCUGUUUCAGAUCCAUAGGCCUCCUUGCACAAAUGGACUUAUCCUGAAGAACAGAAUUAAAGUCCUGUAUGAGGUUACCAGGAACACAGGAAUCUAAAGUUGGUAAAAUAAUUUUCCUAAAACAACCAACAGAUGCUGAUGAAGACAGCUGGGCUCUCUGAGUCUCACUCAAUGUGAAACUUUAUUGUUUACCUCUACCCUGAUCCACCUUGGUUAGAGCUUUGUGGUUAGAGGCUGAAGAACUCUCCUUACAAAACACAUGGAGCAAUGUACAAAAUACUUGAUGCAGUUCACUCUUACUGCAUCUGUACCCUUGUUCUGAAAAUGAACACUAACCAUGAAACACACCAAGGCCAACAAACAAGGUAUUGAGAACAAAGACAAGCAUGACAGCAGCUUUUGAAUAACAUUCAUCAGAGCCAGCAGCUGGUAGACCACUGAGAAAUGUUUGUGAGAGUCAUCUGUUUCCAGCUGCUGACUGCUGUUGUCUUGCUGCUUUGGGAGACAGCAUUUUCUAGUUCCCACAUGCACAGAGAGAGAAAAAUGUGAUGUGCCAAACCACUCUGAGAAGACUGUUCAAUUGAGCUAAUAUAUUUGAAUGGUAUGGAGAAUAUUCUCUUUCCUUCCUGUUGAUGCUGCCCCUCUUUCAGCGAACAGGCUUUGGCCUUCCAGUCAGCCCCUCUACAUCACCCAUGCACACAAAUGUGAUUCAGAUCAUGCUUAAGACAUGCCAACAUUUCUGUUUUGUCAGAUUAGCUAGAGAACACGAUAUGGAACUCAGGCCGUCUGUGUGCUUUUGUCUCAGCUUGGCUCUGGGUGUGCCUGACCAGAUGGUCCCUGAUACAGUUUAAAUCCUCUGAGUGCAAAGUUAGCCUGAACAAAUCCAUUUGACAUUCCUACCCUUGAACAGUGCUUUGUGUUCUGUGACCAUGUUGUGUGUGACCCAAACUUACUCAUAUAAUCAAAGACUGAUAAGAAAUUAAUUAGGUCCCAGAGAAAGUACAUCCAUAUAUGCUGUUAGUAUAGAAGUUAGGAUACUUACUUCAGAGGGCAAAGAAGGCAAGGGAAGAUGUAAGCACUAUGGCCUAGUCCAGUAUUAAUCCGCAAAAUGUUUGUAGAAGCAAUAUUCAUAGGUCUUUCUUUCCUGCACAGAAGGAUGAGAAAAUAAUAAAAGUUUGUGUAAUAUCUAUCCUUAAAAGGGA
rnacentral:lncRNA from 1 species